AACGAACGCUGGCGGCAUGCCUUACACAUGCAAGUCGAACGGUAACGCGGGGCAACCUGGCGACGAGUGGCGAACGGGUGAGUAAAGCAUCGGAACGUGCCCAGUAGUGGGGGAUAGCCCGGCGAAAGCCGGAUUAAUACCGCAUACGACCUACGGGUGAAAGGGGGGGAUCGCAAGACCUCUCGCUAUUGGAGCGGCCGAUGUCAGAUUAGGUAGUUGGUGGGGUAAAGGCCUACCAAGCCGACGAUCUGUAGCUGGUCUGAGAGGACGACCAGCCACACUGGGACUGAGACACGGCCCAGACUCCUACGGGAGGCAGCAGUGGGGAAUUUUGGACAAUGGGCGCAAGCCUGAUCCAGCCAUGCCGCGUGCGGGAAGAAGGCCUUCGGUUGUAAACGCUUUGUCAGGGAAGAAACGACUCUGGGAGUAAUACCGCGGACUAAUGACGGUACCCGAAGAAUAAG
rnacentral:rRNA from 1 species